AACGCUAGCUACAGGCUUAACACAUGCAAGUCGAGGGGCAGCAUGGUCUUAGCNUGCUAAGGCCGAUGGCGACCGGCGCACGGGUGAGUAANCACGUAUCCAACCUGGCCUUGACUCGGGAACAGCCUUUCGAAAGGGAGAUUAAUACCCGAUGAUGUCAGGAGUUCGCAUGUAAACCUGACUAAAGUUAUUACGGUACGGGAGGGGGGUGCGUUCCAUUAGGUAGUAGGCGGGGUAACGGCCCACCUAGCCAACGAUGGAUAGGGGUUCUGAGAGGAAGGUCCCCCACAUUGGAACUGAGACACGGUCCAAACUCCUACGGGAGGCAGCAGUGAGGAAUAUUGGUCAAUGGCCGCGAGGCUGAACCAGCCAAGUAGCGUGAAGGAUGACGGCCCUACGGGUUGUAAACUUCUUUUAUGCGGGAUUAACGUGAGGUACGUGUACCUUCUUGCAGGUACCGCAUGAAUAAGCAUCGGCUAACUCCGUGCCAGCAGCCGCGGUAAUACGGAAGGUCCGGGCGUUAUCCGGAUUUAUUGGGUUUAAAGGGAGCGCAGGCCGGCUUUUAAGCGUGCCGUGAAAUGCCGUGGCUCAACCAUGGCACUGCGGCGCGAACUGGGGGCCUUGAGUGCGCGGAAGGCAGGCGGAAUUCGUGGUGUAGCGGUGAAAUGCUUAGAUAUCACGAAGAACUCCGAUUG
rnacentral:rRNA from 1 species